CCACGUGAAAAGGGUGUUAAAUGAAGACUUAGGGCUUCGAGCAUAUCGAAGAAAAACAGGACAUCGUUUGAAUGCUCGUCUAAUGGA
rnacentral:pre_miRNA from 1 species